AGGAAUUCUGUUUCUAGUGAACGACAGCCUUUGGGUACAUCUGCAUGUUUUUUAGAUCUGCAAAAUGAGAAUAGCAGGUAAUAUCCAUGGCAUAACAGGGAGACUGGAGAAAAGUUGCAAAAACAACUUGAGGUGAAAUGUAGACAAUAACUACCAAAAGCUCUGGCAAAUGCUUUUAUGAAUGCUACAGAUUAUACAGUAGAUUUCAAGCUGGUUUUCUGUCAAACCCCUUCAGAUAGAGAUUGAGUGACCUUUGAGUUUUCAAAUACAGUAAUGAUUGCUUAAGCUUCUGCUUAUAGUGAGUCAACUGCAGUGCAUCCCUUUUCUUAGCUUAUGAUACAACACUUUGUCACCGUGAAUGCUUAUAACUUGCUUUUCGGCGAUGGCACAAAACUUACAGUAAUAGAGAAGGAUAAGGAAAUCAUACCUCCAUCUGUGGCCAUCUUUUCCCCAUCAAAGCAGGAGAUCCAACAGAAGAACAAGGCCACACUGGUAUGCCUGGCAUCUGGUUUCUACCCUGACCACCUGACUCUGGUCUGGUUCGUAAAUGAUGUCAAAAGGACAAAAGGAGUGGGGACAGAUGAAUUCUCCACACAGAAUGGGAGUACCUACUCACUGACCAGCCGACUGAGGAUCCCAGCCUGGGAAUGGUUUAACCCUUUGAAUAAUUUUGAGUGUGUUGCCAGUUUUUUUCAGAAUGGAGAAAAGAAUUCCAUACACAAAGUUAUCUCUGGUGAUGCUGGUUGUGCAGUUAGAGAAGACUCGUACUUGCGGUAUGGAAAUUCCGUGAAGCUCACUUACCUCAUUCUCUGUGGCAAAGCCUUGAUCUAUGCAGUUUUGGUGAGCAGUCUGGUGUGGAGAGCCAAGGUAGGUGGCAAGUUGUAUAAAGAAUGAAUGAAGACCCCUCUUCAUCACAUCAGCAGGAGCACAAGUUAUACCUCUACCUUUCCAUAGCAAAGGAUCUGUGCUUCUAAGAAUUUCUAAAUAUUUUUUGAUGGUUCUUUGUCCCACUCCUGUUCUCCACUUUUUUGUACUCACUACUGGAUUUAUCCUGUGCUUCCAGAUUGUAUAUUAUCAUAGUGUAUUGUCUCAUAUGUUUAAAACUAGCACCUUUUUAGGUGCUCAGAGACUGAGAACUCAGCUCCUUAAUUUAGGAAUAAAGUUUUAGCUUUUUUUCCAUUGAAAAAA